GGCUUUUUGCUUAUAAUUUAAAGUCUGACCUGCCCAAUGAUUAAGAUUAAAUGGCCGCGGUAAUUUGACCGUGCAAAGGUAGCAUAAUCACUAGUUUUUUAAUUGAAAGCUUGAAUGAAAGGUUUGAUGAGAGAAUUACUGUCUCUAACUAAAAUUUAGAAUUUUAUUUUUAAGUAAAAAAGCUUAAAUAAAUAUUGAAGACGAGAAGACCCUAUAGAGUUUUAUUUAUAUUUUAAUAAAUUAUAUUAAGAAUUAAAAAGAUUUAUUAAGAUAUAAAUUUAGUUGGGGUGAUUGAAAAAUUAAUAAAACUUUUUUUGUAUUUUUACAUUUAUUUAUGAAUUUUUGAUCCUAUAUUAGAUUAAAAGAUUAAACUACCUUAGGGAUAACAGCGUAAUCUUUUUUAGAGUUCUUAUCGAAAAAAGGGGUUGCGACCUCGAUGUUGGAUUAAAAAAAAUUAUUGGUGUAGGAGCUAAUAAAUUAGGUCUGUUCGACCUUUAAAAUUUUACAUGAUCUGAGUUUAAACCGGCGUGAG
rnacentral:rRNA from 1 species